rnacentral:pre_miRNA from 15 species
UGGAGGCACAAACUUAUUUUUGUAAUAUGUUCUUGAGUAUGUAACAUAAAUGCCUUGGGAACAUUUGGUACCCAUGGUUUCGUAUCGAUACA